ACCUCGGUGGUCUAAGUGGCAGCACGCGUCCCCGGCAUGGAUGAGCGUGGGUUCGACUCCCGUCUGAAGCC